UGCGGCCCUCGCGACCUAGAGUCCUGGGCCACGCCUGUCUGAGGGUCGGUUUCCGUUGUACAGCCUGG
rnacentral:rRNA from 1 species